rnacentral:tRNA from 1 species
ACUGACUUAGAAGGUAGUUCUAGGAACUUCUAAGUCGUGGGUCACAGGUUCGAAUCCUGUAGGGCGUACCA